rnacentral:rRNA from 1 species
CAGUAGCCGCGGUAAUACGAAGGGGGCUAGCGUUGUUCGGAAUCACUGGGCGUAAAGCGCACGUAGGCGGACUUUUAAGUCAGGGGUGAAAUCCCAAGGCUCAACCUUGGAACUGCCUUUGAUACUGGAAGUCUUGAGUUCGGGAGAGGUGAGUGGAACUGCGAGUGUAGAGGUGAAAUUCGUAGAUAUUCGCAAGAACACCAGUGGCGAAGGCGGCUCACUGGCCCGAUACUGACGCUGAGGUGCGAAAGCGUGGGGAGCAAACAGGAUUAGAUACCCCCGUAGUCCCUGUCUCUUAUAC